rnacentral:rRNA from 1 species
GAUGAACGCUGGCGGCGUGCCUAAUACAUGCAAGUCGAGCGAACGGAUGAGGAGCUUGCUCCUCUGACGUUAGCGGCGGACGGGUGAGUAACACGUGGAUAACCUACCUAUAAGACUGGGAUAACUUCGGGAAACCGGAGCUAAUACCGGAUAAUAUAUUGAACCGCAUGGUUCAAUAGUGAAAGACGGUUUUGCGUUCACUUAUAGAUGGAUCCGCGCCGCAUUAGCUAGUUGGUAAGGUAACGGCUUACCCAGGCAACGAUGCGUAGCCGACCUGAGAGGGUGAUCGGCCACACUGGAACUGAGAAACGGCCCAGACUCCUACGGGAGGCCGCAGUAGGGAAUCUUCCGCAAUGGGCGAAAGCCUGACGGAGCAACGCCGCGUGAGUGAUGAAGGUCUUCGGAUCGUAAAACUCUGUUAUUAGGGAAGAACAAAUGUGUAAGUAACUAUGCACGUCUUGACGGUACCUAAUCAGAAAGCCACGGCUAACUACGUG